UACGGGGGGGGCAAGCGUUGUUCGGAAUUACUGGGCGUAAAGGGCUCGUAGGCGGCCAACUAAGUCGGAUGUGAAAUCCCCAGGCUUAACCUGGGAACUGCAUCCGAUACUGGAUGGCUUGAAUCCGGGAGAGGGAUGCGGAAUUCCAGGUGUAGCGGUGAAAUGCGUAGAGAUCGUAAGGAAGACCAGUGGCGAAGGCGGGUCUCUGGACAGUUCCUGACACUGAGGCACGAAGGCCAGGGGAGCAAACGGG
rnacentral:rRNA from 1 species